rnacentral:misc_RNA from 1 species
AAGUCGUAACAAGGUUUCCGUAGGUGAACCUGCGGAAGGAUCAUUAACACGUAUCCAACGUUAAACCCCCCGUGAACCUUCAGUGCGCUCGCACUUUAAAUCAUUGCCGAACAGUUUUGAUUCAGGGACUUCUGCGUAGACUGUGCUUGAGCGUGAGGCAAGUGGCCUGGCAUUCCUCUGCUUGUUGGUGUCUGAAAGUGUCACCAGCUCUGUACGAAUGGCGCAGUCACGAUCGCUAGAGGCCGACACGGCCGGCGACCGGGUCACUGGGCGCGAGCCCCCCUCGUCACCUUUGCAUGAAAACGGGCCUGCGCUUAAUUGUGCGGCCACCAAACUCGAACAACUGUUAACAAUGGAUAUCUUGGUUCUC